rnacentral:rRNA from 1 species
AGAGUUUGAUCCUGGCUCAGAACGAACGCUGGCGGCGUGGUUAAGGCAUGCAAGUCGAACGAGAAAGUCACCUUCGGGUGGCGAGUAAAGUGGCGAAAGGGUGAGGAAUGCUUGGAUAACCUGCCCUCGAGCGGGGCAUAGCCCACCGAAAGGUGGAUUAAUACCGCAUACGAUCCCGAUGAGGCAUCUCAUCAGGAUGAAGGGAGGCGUCCUUCGGGGCGUUUUCACUCGAGGAGGGGUCCAAGUCGUAUCAGCUUGUUGGUAGGGUAACGGCCUACCAAGGCGACGACGCGUAUGGGGCCUGAGAGGGUGAUCCCACACACUGGGACUGAGACACUGCCCAGACUCCUACGGGAGGCUGCAGUCGAGAAUCUUUGGCAAUGGACGAAAGUCUGACCAAGCGACGCCGCGUGGAGGAGGAAGGCCUUCGGGUUGUAAACUCCUGUCAGGGGGCAAGAAUAAGCGCGCUAACCCCGCGUGAUGACUACUCCCAAAGGAAGCACCGGCUAACUCCGUGCCAGCAGCCGCGGUAAUACGGAGGGUGCAAGCGUUAAUCGGAAUUACUGGGCGUAAAGCGUUCGUAGGCGGUUAUUUAAGUUAGAUGUGAAAGCCCCGGGCUUAACCUGGGAACUGCAUUUAAAACUGGAUAACUCGAGUUUAGGAGAGGGAAGUGGAAUUUCAGGUGUAGCAGUGAAAUGCGUAGAGAUCUGAAGGAACACCAGUGGCGAAGGCGACUUCCUGGACUAAAACUGACGCUGAGGAACGAAAGCGUGGGUAGCAAACGGGAUUAGAUACCCCGGUAGUCCACGCCGUAAACGAUGUCAACUAGCCGUUGG